rnacentral:misc_RNA from 1 species
UUCGGAGGGGACUAGAGUUGUUCGGAAUUACUGGGCGUAAAGCGCGCGCAGGCGGUUCUUCAAGUCAGAGGUGAAAGCCCCGAGCUCAACUCGGGAAUUGCCUUUGAGACUGGAGGACUAGGGUACGGGAGAGGUGAGUGGAAUUCCGAGUGUAGAGCUGAAAUUCGUAGAUAUUCGGAAGAACACCAGUGGCGAAGGCGGCUCACUGGCCCGUUACCGACGCUCAGGCGCGAUAGCGUGGGGAGCAAACAGG